rnacentral:rRNA from 1 species
UACGUAGGGGGCAAGCGUUGUCCGGAUUUAUUGGGCGUAAAGCGCGUGUAGGCGGCCAGAUAGGUCUGAUGUGAAAACUGGAGGCUCAACCUCCAGCUGUCAUCAGAAAUCAUCCGGCUAGAGUCCGGAAGAGGAGAGUGGAAUUCCUGGUGUAGCGGUGAAAUGCGCAGAUAUCAGGAAGAACACCUAUGGCGAAGGCAGCUCUCUGGGACGGUACUGACGCUGAGACGCGAAAGCGUGGGGAGCAAACAGG